rnacentral:rRNA from 1 species
GUCGAGAAUUUUUCACAAUGGGCGAAAGCCUGAUGGAGCGACGCCGCGUGGGGGAUGAAUGGCUUCGGCCCGUAAACCCCUGUCAUUCGGGAUCAAAUCUGGCAACCUAAUACGUUGUCAGUUGAUAGUACUGAAAGAGGAAGGGACGGCUAACUCUGUGCCAGCAGCCGCGGUAAUACAGAGGUCCCAAGCGUUGUUCGGAUUUACUGGGCGUAAAGGGAGCGUAGGUGGCAGAUUAAGUCUGGUGUGAAAGCUCUGAGCUUAACUCAGAAAUGGCAUUGGAUACUAGUUUGCUUGAGGAUUGGAGGGGAGACUGGAAUUCUCGGUGUAGCAGUGAAAUGCGUAGAUAUCGAGAGGAACACCAGUGGCGAAGGCGAGUCUCUGGACAAUUCCUGACACUGAUGCUCGAAAGCUAGGGGAGCAAACGGGAUUAGAUACCCGAGUAGUCC